rnacentral:rRNA from 1 species
UGCCAGACUCCUACGGGAGGCAGCAGUGAGGAAUAUUGGUCAAUGGACGAGAGUCUGAACCAGCCAAGUAGCGUGAAGGAUGACUGCCCUAUGGGUUGUAAACUUCUUUUAUAAAGGAAUAAAACGAGGCACGUGUGCCUUUUUGCAUGUACUUUAUGAAUAAGGAUCGGCUAACUCCGUGCCAGCAGCCGCGGUAAUACGGAGGAUGCGAGCGUUAUCCGGAUUUAUUGGGUUUAAAGGGUGCGUAGGCGGAUUUUUAAGUCAGCGGUAAAAUGUCCGGGCUCAACCCGGGUCGGCCGUUGAAACUGGGGAUCUUGAGUGGGCGAGAAGUAUGCGGAAUGCGUGGUGUAGCGGUGAAAUGCAUAGAUAUCACGCAGAACUCCGAUUGCGAAGGCAGCAUACCGGCGCCCGACUGACGCUGAGGCACGAAAGCGUGGGGAUCGAACAGGAUUAGAUACCCGUGUA